UAAUGUAAUUCCUACAAAAUUUAUGCACCAUAUCCCAUUAGAAAUCCAAAUUUAAGUGUGCUUGGGAUAAAGUAGUACUAGGAUGGGUGACCUAUCAGGAAGUCCUAGUUUUACAGGCC
rnacentral:rRNA from 1 species